rnacentral:snRNA from 1 species
AUGGAUGGCAGCACACAUAGUAAAAUUGGAACGAUAUGGAGAAGAUUAGCGUGGUCACUGCACAAGGAUGACAUGCA